rnacentral:tmRNA from 2 species
GGGGCCGACUGGAAUUGACAGUAGGUGUAAUGCAAGUGUAAGCAUGCAGGGAGUUGUGAGUAUUUCCCUUAAAUAAAACUUUCACACUUAUAAUUGGCGAUACACAAUACGCCCUUGCUGCCUAAUUAAGAAUUAGUAGCAAUGUGUCUCUCUCACCCCACGUUCUGCCGGGUGGGAAUAUGAGGCAUCACUACGCAGAGCUGGCUUUUCGGGGUUUCUCGACAGGAAAGUAAGAUCAAUCGGGGAUAAGGUGUAGAUCAGGUUGGUUGCUGACCUUGCUGCACUCGAAUAAAUAAUCAGCAAAUAAGCAUGUAGAAGGCGCUUAGUGUUCCUUAUCUGGACGAGGGUUCGAACCCCUCCGGCUCCACCU